rnacentral:rRNA from 1 species
CAGCCGCCGCGGGAAUACGUAGGUGGCAAGCGUUGUCCGGAAUUAUUGGGCGUAAAGGGCUCGCAGGCGGUUUCUUAAGUCUGAUGUGAAAGCCCCCGGCUCAACCGGGGAGGGUCAUUGGAAACUGGGAAACUUGAGUGCAGAAGAGGAGAGUGGAAUUCCACGUGUAGCGGUGAAAUGCGUAGAGAUGUGGAGGAACACCAGUGGCGAAGGCGACUCUCUGGUCUGUAACUGACGCUGAGGAGCGGAAGCGUGGGGAGCGAACAGGAUUAGAUACCCGAGUAGUCCCUGUCUCUUAUAC